rnacentral:ncRNA from 1 species
UAAGAGGGACAAACCGGGGGCAUUCGUAUCAUUACGCGAGAGGUGAAAUUCGUGGACCGUAGUGAGACGCCCAAUAGCGAAAGCAUUUGCCAAGAAUGUCUUCAUUAAUCAAGAACGAAAGUCAGAGGUUCGAAGGCGAUUAGAUACCGCCCUAGUUCUGACCGUAAACGAUGCCAUCUCGCGAUUCGGAGGGUUCAUGCCCUACCGAGGAGCUACCCGGAAACGAAAGUCUUUCGGUUCCGGGGGUAGUAUGGUUGCAAAGCUGAAACUUAAAGAAAUUGACGGAAGGGCACCACAAGGCGUGGAGCUUGCGGCUUAAUUUGACUCAACACGGGAAAACUCACCCGGUCCGGACACUAUUAGGACUGACAGAUUGAAAGCUCUUUCUCGAUUUGGUGGUUGGUGGUGCAUGGCCGUUCUUAGUUGGUGGAGUGAUUUGUCUGGUUUAUUCCGAUAACGAGCGAGACUCUAGCCUGCUAAAUAGUCGACGAAUCUUCGGGUUCGUAUAACUUCUUAGAGGGAUAAGCGGUGUUUAGCCGCACGAGAUUGAGCGAUAACAGGUCUGUGAUGCCCUUAGAUGUCCGGGGCUGCACGCGUGCUACACUGGUGGAGUCAGCGGGUUUUUCCUAUGCCGAAAGGUAUCGGUAAACCGUUGAACUUCUUCCAUGUCCGGGAUAGGGUAUUGUAAUUAUUACCCUUAAACGAGGAAUGCCUAGUAAGUGUGAGUCAUCAGCUCACGUUGAUUACGUCCCUGCCCUUAGUACACACCGCCCGUCGCUAUCCGGGACUGAACUGAUUCGAGAAGAGUGGGGACUGUGGCUGCGAGGUUUUACCACUUCGCAGUUGCGGAAACCAUUUUUAUCGCAUUGGUUUGAACCGGGUAAAAGUCGUAACAAGGUAGCUGUAGGUGAACCUGCAGCUGGAUCAUCG